rnacentral:rRNA from 1 species
CUACGGGUCGCUGCAGUGAGGAAUAUUGCACAAUGGGGGGAACCCUGAUGCAGCAACGCCGCGUGGAGGCUGACGCAUUUCGGUGUGUAAACUCCUUUUAUAUGUCAAGAAAAUGACGGUAGCAUAUGAAUAAGCACCGGCUAACUCCGUGCCAGCAGCCGCGGUAUACGGAGGGUGCAAGCGUUACUCGGAAUCACUGGGCGUAAAGGACGCGUAGGCGGGUUGGAAAGUCAGGUGUGAAAUCCUACAGCUUAACUGUAGAACUGCACUUGAAACUUCUAAUCUAGAGUAUGGGAGGGGGAGAUGGAAUUAGUGGUGUAGGGGUAAAAUCCGUAGAUAUCACUAGGAAUACCUAAAGCGAAGGCGAUCUCCUGGAACAUUACUGACGCUAAGGCGUGAAAGCGUGGGGAGCAAACAGGAUUAGAUACCCGCGUAGUC